AGCCAUGCGAGUCGAAUGGGAUACCUAAACUUCCCAUGGCAAACUGCUCAGUAACACAAGAUCAACUUAACCUAUAGAGAAAAAUAAUCUCGGGAAACUGAGGAUAAUGUUUCAUAGUUGAAUCGGCUUGGAAAAGUUUUUCAAUCAAAAGGAUAAGAAAAAUGGUUCUUAUUCGCUAUAGGAUAGGAUCGUGGACGAUUAUGGUUGUUGGUGAGGUAAUGGCUCACCAAGCCGAUAAUCGAUAGGGGCCGUGAGAGCGGGAGCCCCGAGAUGGGUACUUAGACAACGACCCAGGCCUUACGAGGCGCAGCAGGCGCGGAACCUCCGCAAUACACGAAAGUGUGACGGGGUUACCCAAAGUGUUCAGUUUUGGACUGUGGUAGGUGAGUAAUGUUCCCUACUAGAAAGGAGAGGGCAAGGCUGGUGCCAGCCGCCGCGGUAAAACCAGCUCUUCAAGUGGUCGGGAUAAUUAUUGGGCUUAAAGUGUCCGUAGCCGGUUUAGUAAGUUCCUGGUAAAAUCGGGUAGCUUAACUAUCCAUAUGCUAGGAAUACUGCUAUACUAGAGGGCGGGAGAGGUCUGAGGUACUACAGGGGUAGGGGUGAAAUCUUAUAAUCCUUGUAGGACCACCAGUGGCGAAGGCGUCAGACUGGAACGCGCCUGACGGUGAGGGACGAAAGCCAGGGGAGCGAACCGGAUUAGAUACGUCGUUGCUUUUGCACGACGCUAAAUACCCGGGUAGUCCUGGCCGUAAACGAUG
rnacentral:rRNA from 1 species